GACGAGCCACACAAACGUUAUUCGGAAUCACUGGGCUUAAAGGGUGCGUAGGCUGCGCGGAAAGUGGGGUGUGAAAGCCCUCGGCUCAACCGAGGAAUGGCGCUCCAAACUACCGUGCUCGAGGAAGACAGAGGUAAGCGGAACUGAGGGUGGAGCGGUGAAAUGCGUUGAUAUCCUCAGGAACACCGGUGGCGAAAGCGGCUUACUGGGUCUUUUCUGACGCUGAGGCACGAAAGCUAGGGUAGCAAACGGG
rnacentral:rRNA from 1 species